rnacentral:antisense_RNA from 1 species
UUUUGCCUUCGGGUUCCGGCGAACAAUGUCAUUCCCGAUGGCAUGCAUCAGGUGGGUCUUACCCAGGCCGACACCACCAUA